rnacentral:rRNA from 1 species
CCCUUAGAUGUUCUGGGCCGCACGCGCGCUACACUGAUUCAUGCAACAAGUUUUGUCCUUGGCCGAUAGGUCUGGGUAAUCUUUGAACGCUGUUCGUGAUUGGGAUAGACCUUUGCAAUUAUGGGUCUUCAACGAGGAAUUCCUAGUAAACGCAAGUCAUCAGCUUGCAUUGAUUACGUCCCUGCCCUUUGUACACACCGCCCGUCGCACCUACCGAUUGAAUGGUCCGGUGAAAUCUCGGGACGGCGGCUUGGUCGCUUGCGUCCGACUGCUGAAACUUGAUUAAACCAUAUCAUUUAGAGGAAGGUGAAGUCGUAACA